UACGUAGGGUGCAAGCGUUAUCCGGAAUCAUUGGGUUUAAAGGGUCCGCAGGCGGUCUUAUAAGUCAGUGGUGAAAGCCUACAGCUCAACUGUAGAACUGCCAUUGAUACUGUAAGACUUGAAUUCGAUCGAAGUGGGCGGAAUAUGACAUGUAGCGGUGAAAUGCUUAGAUAUGUCAUAGAACACCGAUAGCGAAGGCAGCUCACUAGGUCUGGAUUGACGCUCAGGGACGAAAGCGUGGGGAGCAAACAGG
rnacentral:rRNA from 1 species